AUGAGAUUUAAAGAGAAACUUCAUGCCAUUUUUUUUUAUUUGUCCAGGAAAAAAGAAAAAACAAAAAAGGAGAAGGUGGGGGAAGAAGAUGCAUACUUUAAAAAUGUCCAGCCCUCUGGCAAGCAUUUCUACAACCUUUCCCUCUGCAGCCUUUGCCUAGAAGCCACUCGCAGGAAACUGACAACCAGCUGGUGCUACAGUGAGACAGCCAAAUCCACUGUGUGUAGACCUCCGCUCCAAGCUACAGAAUGGCCUGGGAUGACCCUGAGGCCGCAUCUUCAGAGCAGUGAGCACAGGCCUUUCUGA
rnacentral:lncRNA from 1 species